AAGUCGUAACAAGGUUUCCGUAGGUGAACCUGCGGAAGGAUCAUUAACACGUAUCCAACGUAAAAAACCCCCCUGUGAACAUUCAAACCUGCUCUCGUAGCCCAGUCGUCCAGCAUAACUAAAAAACCUCGAACAACUGUUAACAAUGGAUAUCUUGGUUCUC
rnacentral:misc_RNA from 1 species